rnacentral:rRNA from 1 species
GAACUUAAGCAUAUCAAUAAGCGGAGGAAAAGAAACCAACAGGGAUUGCCUCAGUAACGGCGAGUGAAGCGGCGACAGCUCAAAUUUGAAAUCUGGCCGCAAGGUCCGAGUUGUAAUUUGUAGAGGAUGCUUUUGGCGAGGUGCCUUCCGAGUUCCCUGGAACGGGACGCCAUAGAGGGUGAGAGCCCCGUACGGUAGGACCACCAAGCCUCUGUAAAGCUCCUUCGACGAGUCGAGUAGUUUGGGAAUGCUGCUCUAAAUGGGAGGUGUACGUCUUCUAAAGCUAAAUACCGGCCAGAGACCGAUAGCGCACAAGUAGAGUGAUCGAAAGAUGAAAAGCACUUUGAAAAGAGGGUUAAAAAGUACGUGAAAUUGUUGAAAGGGAAGCAUUCAUGACCAGACUUGGGCUUGGUUGAACAUCCGGCGUUCUCGCCGGUGCACUCUGCCAGUCCAGGCCAGCAUCAGUUUGCCCCGGGGGAUAAAGGCGGCGGGAAUGUGGCUCCCUUCGGGGAGUGUUAUAGCCCGUCGUGUAAUGCCCUGGGGCGGACUGAGGAACGCGCUUCGGCACGGAUGCUGGCGUAAUGGUCAUCAAUGACCCGUCUUGAAACACGGACCAAGGAGUCGUCUUCGUAUGCGAGUGUUCGGGUGUCAAACCCCUACGCGUAAUGAAAGUGAACGUAGGUGAGAGCUUCGGCGCAUCACUGACCGAUCCUGAUGUUCUCGGAUGGAUUUGAGUAAGAGCAUACGGGGCCGGACCCGAAA